AACAGGAUUAGAUACCCUGGUAGUCCACGCCCUAAACGAUGUCUACUAGUUGUCGGGUUUUAAUUAACUUGGUAACGCAGCUAACGCGUGAAGUAGACCGCCUGGGGAGUACGGUCGCAAGAUUAAAACUCAAAGGAAUUGACGGGGACCCGCACAAGCGGUGGAUGAUGUGGAUUAAUUCGAUGCAACGCGAAAAACCUUACCUACCCUUGACAUGUACGGAAGACCGAAGAGAUUUGGUUGUGCUCGAAAGAGAACCGUAACACAGGUGCUGCAUGGCUGUCGUCAGCUCGUGUCGUGAGAUGUUGGGUUAAGUCCCGCAACGAGCGCAACCCUUGUCAUUAGUUGCUACAUUUAGUUGAGCACUCUAAUGAGACUGCCGGUGACAAACCGGAGGAAGGUGGGGAUGACGUCAAGUCCUCAUGGCCCUUAUGGGUAGGGCUUCACACGUCAUACAAUGGUACAUACAGAGGGCCGCCAACCCGCGAGGGGGGGCUAAUCCCAGAAAGUGUAUCGUAGUCCGGAUCGCAGUCUGCAACUCGACUGCGUGAAGUUGGAAUCGCUAGUAAUCGCGGAUCAGCAUGUCGCGGUGAAUACGUUCCCGGGUCUUGUACACACCGCCCGUCACACCAUGGGAGCGGGUUUUACCAGAAGUAGGUAGCUUAACCGUAAGGAGGGCGCUUACCACGGUAGGAUUCGUGACUGGGGUGAAGUCGUAACAAGGUAACC
rnacentral:rRNA from 1 species